UAUAAGCAGAAGUAUCCCACCCGUGACUUAACUCUUAAGACAGUGUUUUUACCCUUAUUAUGGUAGAGUGGUUCUAUAGGAUAUCUUGUAAUUUUCAAAUAUGGUUUGUUAUAGAAUUAUACAUGCUUCAUGUUCUAUAAUUUAUCUAUUUGUGUGUCCUUUUUCCUUCAUGGGUUACUUACUUCCUCACAGGUCACCUAAUGUCACAAAUUACUUCCAUGUAAGUCUUGUCUACUUUGGAGAGUAUCCUUGUUUAUUGCUAGAUGUUUCCGUAUCACCUUUUCCGUAUAUGUUAUUUAUUGCACUGGCUACCUUCCUGAUGUAACUUGUCCAUAUUGUGCGUGUAUUUCAAGAUAAUUGAUCAUAUGACCACUUCUAUAUAUUUUACAUGCCUCGUAGCCUACUUGAUUAAGCAUUGGACUUAUAGCUUUUCUACCCAUGUGUCAUGUGCUCACUUGCUCAUAUUUCAUAUGUUUACUCAUUGAUAUGUUAGUCCACCUAUCCAUGUGAUAUAACACACUUGCUCAAUGUGAUAUGUGUUCUGUAGUUCAUUUCCCUUUAUGUCUACAUGAAUUAUAGUCUACUUGCGAUAUAUUACAUUUCGUAGCUUUAGUACUCAUGCAUCAUGUGGUCAUCUAGUCUAUUUCCUACAUGUUCCUUAUAGCUCAUUCAUUGACACUCUACCUUAGUUCAUAUGCUGUAUACACCACAUUUUUCUAUAGAUUAAUGCCCAUAAAUUAGGUGCUCUCUUUUUUGUGCUAGUCUGCCUGUGUGUCAUACUCAAUGUAACUUAUUUGUCUGUAUUCUAUGCUACUCUGUGCUUAUUGACUUAGAGUAUUAAAAUUUUUUGAAAAAUGUUUCCUUGUAUCAAGAUGUAGUGAUGACUUUGACUAGAAAACGUUGGACAUAUAUGUAAAUUUUAUCACAAUCUUAGAUAUAUAACUUAGCAUAAUUCCUUAUUAAAAGGUGCAACAUAAAACUUUAGAGUUUACAUUAACAUCUAUGCAUUCUUAUAAGAUUCGCCAUUAAAAAUCAUCAAGAAAAAGAAGAGAAGGGAAAGUAGUGCCUCGAUCGAUUAGGUCUAUGAUUUUAUGUGUCCAUUCCAUAUACAAAGAUUUUGGGAGAUACUAUAGUUUUUCUUGAUUGUUAAGGCUCGGAAACAAAUCUCAAAAUGUAAAAACCUCCAUUAAAGUAUUGUGGAUGGAAUGUAAUAUAGCAUAAGAUUCUUGCAAUAAAAGAUUGCAGGAGAUCCUAAAUACCCCUCUUCAUCCUAAACAUCAACAUAAGGAUCUGAGAUCAUGUGGUCCCCUUGUAUAAUCAUAAAUCCAACUAGCAUUUGCUCAUUUGAUGUGUCAUUUGCAUGUCUUGUGUUUAGGUAUAUUAAAGUCCUUCUUUGUAUGAGUUCUAAUUAGGUAUUCAAUGAAUUACAUGGUGAGGAAAGGGGGUUUAAUUUUUCAUAUUAUCAUUUUACCAUAUCCAUGGAGACUUAAUGCUAGACACAUAUGUGUUUAGUGUAUGGAUUUUUGAUAGUCCUAUUAAUAUUGUAAAUCUCACAAAUCUCCAAAUGAAAUUACAAGAUUAACCAAACUAUCAAAGACACCCAUCAUUUGAAGACGAAUGAUCAUAAGGGGGGAGGCUGUAACAUCCUAUAUUCUAUGUGUACUUGUUUAAUUUAUACAAUGCUUAUCAAUUGCCUUGUGGUAUAGUUAUAAAGUCAUUUUUCUAUGCGACUAGUUAAAAUAUAAUAGGUUCAAUGUGAACAUCCCAUAGAUUAAGUUGACGUCGAUGACGUAUUUAUACUUUAAAUCAUAAGGUGGUAGUUCAGUCUAGAAUAGAAAAUUGACAUAGUGUAUAUAACUUUUAAGUUAAGUUAAAGGUAUUAAGGUCUAUAAAUUAAAUAUUUAGGUGCAUGCUUGACUUCACUUAGCUAGUAGGUGAUGAGUAUGUGCAUCACUUACUUUGACUUAUUGACCAGCAAAAGGACCAUGUAGGUGCAUCACCUACUAAGACUCUUUUGACCAUGUUUAUGGGACAAGUAAACAACCUAUAUAUGGCCCAAAAUUAAUAGAAAAAUAAGGGGAAAAUGGACAUCCAAGGCCCAAUCUUUCAAAGCCCACAAGAAAUAAUUUGAAUGGAAAAGUAGAUGCAUCACCUACUUAAAUGUGUGGCCUAAAUCAGGGACACAUGUUGGCUUCAAUGAACUACAAGAAAGAUGGCAAAAGAGAACUUACUAAUGUAAAAAAUCUAAUACAACUAUCACAUUUUCCUCUAAUCCAAAUUUCACGCUCUCAAAGUCAUAUAUUUCUCUCUUUCAAGACGACGCAACCACCCAAUUUUCCCCUAGGGUUCUAACUAUUUUUCACCUUGUUUCUUCCAAAGCAGCAACAAGAUCACCUUAUCUCCUCUAUUGUUUCAAGUAUAUUGGACAAUUCAUUAAAGGGAGUGAACUAGAGAUAGAUACUAUAUGUAUUGAAAGUCAAGGUUCUGCCACUCUCUUUCAAAGAUUAAGAGAAGGUUACAAAAACAGUAAUUGAAGGAGAAUAACGGAUUUAUAUAGUAAAGAUGAAGACAAUGACGUUAAAGGAAAGGAUGACACUUCGAAAGCUUUACGAAUUGGCAAUUAAGGUAUAAGAACUCAUCUAGUAGAUCUCCCCAAUAAAAACACAAAAUGCUUAGCGGUUGUUGGUGAUCUCUAGGUUGAUUCAGGGCUUUGUUGAGUCUUUAUUAUUUGUAGUCAUAGUGGUACAAUCAUGGAUACUAAUAGAGUCUUUGUAGACAUUUUAUAGCUAUCAUCUCUAUUUAUAGUUUCACUUGUCACGUGUAUCGGUUCAGCUAGCACAAAUGUGUUGUAUAUGAAGUUUCUCAUUAUUAAAAAUAUUAGUAUAGUAGUAGUUUACCUUCUAAUCAUA